rnacentral:rRNA from 1 species
UCUAGAAGAAAAAAGGUAAUACUACUAAAGGAAACCUUUAUUUAUUGGCGGCCCAUUUUCUUUUUAGAGGAACUCGUCUCAUAAUCGACACUCCUCGCUAAUUUUCACUUUUUUCUAUCUCUUAUACCGCCGUCUAAAGAUUAAAUUAUUUUUUUCAAAAUAAAGAAAAUUUACUAAGUCAGGUAAAGGUGGGGAAUUUUAAAAAAGAGAAGAUAAGUUACUUAUGAAAUUUAUUUUUGAAUACUUUUCUAACAAUCUGAUUGAAAAAGGAUUUAACAGUAAUUAUUCACUAAUAUUUUAUAAUGAAUCAGUAAAAUAGGUGU